GUGGGAGGGGGCUUGCCCCCGAUGGCAGACUGUCAGUCAAUGAAGAUGUGAUUGACGCACCGCUAUCGGGGGCAAGCCCCCUCCCAC
rnacentral:misc_RNA from 1 species